rnacentral:ncRNA from 2 species
AACAGAGUAGGUAAAAAGCGUAAAGUGUUAAGGGAUGGGAAGUUGCCUUUAAACGAAAGACUAUGUCUGCGGUUUUUUACUGCGUCCGCUGUU